GGGCCUCUAGCUCAGCGGUAGAGCAGCGGACUCUUCCGUCGGUCCAUGGGUUCGAAUCCCAGAGGGCCCA
rnacentral:tRNA from 1 species